rnacentral:rRNA from 1 species
UACAGAGGGUGCGAGCGUUAAUCGGAAUUACUGGGCGUAAAGCGUGCGUAGACGGUAGCGUAAGUCAGAUGUGAAAGCCCCGGGCUCAACCUGGGAAUUGCAUUUGAGACUGCUCUGCUCGGGUGCGGAAGAGGGAAGCGGAAUUUCCGGUGUAGCGGUGAAAUGCGUAGAUAUCACUUGGAACGCCAAAGGUGAAAACAAUCUGCUGGGGAUCUGCUGACGCUGAGACACGAAAGCCAGGGGAGCGAACGGG